UGAAAUGCUCGCUAAUCAGGAACAACCUCAUC
rnacentral:piRNA from 1 species